CGUAGUCAUAUGCUUGUCUCAAAGCUUAAGCCAUGCAAGUCUCAGUACAGACUAUAUUAAAGUGAAACCGCAAAAGGCUCAGUAAACCAGUUUUAAUUUACUAGAGUUAACUUGACUGUGUUUGGAUAACUGUGGUAAUUCUAGAGCUAAUACAUGCAACCAAGCCGUGACCAUUCGUGGUCAGGGCGCUUUUAUUAGACCAAGACCAAUCGCCCGGCCAGUCCGGGCGUUAAGUUGAGGAGCCUAGAUAACACAGCAGAUCGCAUGGUCUCCGUACCGGCGACUUAUCUUUCAAAUGCCUGACUUAUCAACUGACGAUGGUAGACUCUGUGUCUACCAUGGCUGUUACGGGUAACGGGGAAUCAGGGUUCGAUUCCGGAGAGGGAGCCUGAGAAACGGCUACCACAUCCAAGGAAGGCAGCAGGCACGCAAAUUACCCACUCCCGGAACGGGGAGGUAGUGACAAAAAAUAACGAUACGGGACUCGAUAUGAGGCCUCGUAAUCGGAAUGAGUACACUCUAAAUCCUUUAACAAAAAUCUAUUGGAGGGCAAGUCUGGUGCCAGCAGCCGCGGUAAUUCCAGCUCCAAUAGCGUAUAUUAAAGUUGUUGCGGUUAAAAAGCUCGUAGUUGGUUCUGCGUCCCGCGCUGUCGGUACACCGUUUGUCGGUGACACUGGCAUGACGCGGGAUGUCCUGUCGGUGGCGGCGGAGACCAUAUCGCCGUCGGCUAACCCCGCGGCGUGUUGGCCUUCUGUCGCCGGCUCUAUCCUACCGCGGUGCUCUUCACUGAGUGUCGAGGUAGGCCGACACGUUUACUUUGAACAAAUUAGAGUGCUUAAAGCAGGCAAAAAUCUCUGCCAGAAUAGUGGUGCAUGGAAUAAUGGAACAGGACCUUGGUUCUAUUCUGUUGGUCUCCGGAACACAAGGUAAUGAUCAAUGUGGACAGGCGGGGGCAUUCGUAUUGCGGCGUUAGAGGUGAAAUUCUUGGAUCGUCGCAAGACGCACUAGAGCGAAAGCAAUUGCCAAGUAUGUCUUAAUUGAUCAAGAACGAAAGUUAGAGGUUCGAA
rnacentral:rRNA from 1 species